rnacentral:rRNA from 1 species
GUAGGUGGCAAGCGUUGUCCGGAAUUAUUGGGCGUAAAGCGCGCGCAGGCGGUUCUCUAAGUCUGAUGUGAAAGCCCACGGCUCAACCGUGGAGGGUCAUUGGAAACUGGAGAACUUGAGUACAGAAGAGGAAAGCGGAAUUCCACGUGUAGCGGUGAAAUGCGUAGAGAUGUGGAGGAACACCAGUGGCGAAGGCGGCUUUCUGGUCUGUAACUGACGCUGAGGCGCGAAAGCGUGGGGAGCAAACAGGAUUAGAUACCCUGGUAGUCCACGCCGUAAACGAUGAGUGCUAAGUGUUAGGGGGGUUUCCGCCCCCCUUAGUGCUGCAGCUAACGCAUUAAGCACUCCGCCCUGGGAGUACGGCCGCAAGGCUG